CUACGGGUGGCAGCAGUGGGGAAUAUUGGACAAUGGGGGAAACCCUGAUCCAGCAAUACCGCGUGUGUGAAGAAGGCCUGCGGGUUGUAAAGCACUUUCGGUUGGGAGGACUGCUUCUAGCACUAAUAUUGUUGGAAGUUGACGUUACCUUCAGAAGAAGCACCGGCUAACUCCGUGCCAGCAGGCCGCGGUAAUACGGAGGGUGCAAGCGUUAAUCGGAAUUACUGGGCGUAAAGCGCGCGUAGGCGGCUAGAUCAGUCGGGUGUGAAAGCCCCGGGCUUAACCUGGGAACUGCAUCCGAUACUGUCUAGCUUGAGUACAGGAGAGGAGAGUGGAAUUCCACAUGUAGCGGUGAAAUGCGUAGAUAUGUGGAGGAACACCAAUGGCGAAGGCAGCUCUCUGGCCUGAUACUGACGCUGAGGUGCGAAAGCGUGGGGAGCAAACAGGAUUAGAUACCCUCGUAGUC
rnacentral:rRNA from 1 species